rnacentral:misc_RNA from 1 species
UUGUUGUUUCUUUGUCGCUUCCAGUACUUUGAGCUUGUACCUCGUCAACACUAGAAUAAUGCACUACAGCCAGUUCGCCAUCUUGCUUCUUGCAAGCUGUGCUUUUGCCCAUACAGUCAACCAAGGGGACCUAUAUAACGCUUUGAACACUAAUGAAACCAUCUGGCUAAAGCAACGGAGCUUUGAAGAACACACUACGUGUGUAGCUGACAAAAUGGUGUUUCUGAAUUACACUGAUUACAAGUUUACGCAUUCCUACUUGAAUGGUACUCAACCUCAAAACCAGACCCUCUUUGCGAAAUUGCAUAAUUCAACAGAGGGCGGGAAUCCUUACAUGACCGUCAGCAUACAAGGAACAAGUGGGAUCAACUUCACGCUAGAUUAUUGGAAUGACACGGAGAAGUGCGGAGUUCUUACAUUCCAGCCGGGAGGUGAAACUAUGUGGAAUGC